ACGAACGCUGGCGGCGUGCUUAACACCUGCAAGUCGCACGGAAAGGCCCUGCUUUUGUGGGGUGCCCGAGUGGCGAACGGGUGAGUAACACGUGAGUAACCUGCCCUUGACUUUGGGAUAACUUCAGGAAACUGGGGCUAAUACCGGAUAGGAGCUCCUGCUGCAUGGUGGGGGUUGGAAAGUUUCGGCGGUUGGGGAUGGACUCGCGGCUUAUCAGCUUGUUGGUGGGGUAGUGGCUUACCAAGGCUUUGACGGGUAGCCGGCCUGAGAGGGUGACCGGCCACAUUGGGACUGAGAUACGGCCCAGACUCCUACGGGAGGCAGCAGUGGGGAAUAUUGCACAAUGGGCGGAAGCCUGAUGCAGCAACGCCGCGUGCGGGAUGACGGCCUUCGGGUUGUAAACCGCUUUCGCCUGUGACGAAGCGUGAGUGACGGUAAUGGGUAAAGAAGCACCGGCUAACUACGUG
rnacentral:rRNA from 1 species